rnacentral:rRNA from 1 species
UACGGAGGGUGCGAGCGUUGUCCGGAAUCACUGGGCGUAAAGAGCGUGUAGGCGGCUUGUUAAGUCUUGCGUGAAAUCUCGGGGCUCAACCCCGAGCGGUCGUGAGAAACUGGCAGGCUAGAGUGCGGGAGAGGAGAGUGGAAUUCCUGGUGUAGCGGUGAAAUGCGCAGAUAUCAGGAAGAACACCCGUGGCGAAGGCGGCUCUCUGGAACGCAACUGACGCUGAGACGCGAAAGCGUGGGGAGCAAACAGG